rnacentral:lncRNA from 7 species
CAACCAAUAUAUACCCGUUUUGUUCUAAUAUAUGGAGAAACAACUACUAUCUAAACACAACUAAGUGAUAGGUGGAGUGGUAGAGGAGGUUACGUGAGUAAAAUUUGUUGAAUUAUGUUCCUACACCCACAUAGCACACGAUUUUUUUUCACGAAUUUUACGUGAAAAAUACCGCGGGUGGAGGCCUCCUUUGGUCAAAAUAUUUUUUUGCUAUUUUAAAACAUAGUUUAUGUUUCUUACAAAGAAUUUUUGUGGCGGUUUUCAGUAGAAAUCGAUUUUUACUGACAGUUUUUUAAGACACUCGUAAAAAAUACUAUUUCUACUUACCUCUAGCAUUAGGUUACGAAAAACGGUAGUACAAAUAUAUUUAGAACCGUCUAUACAGAACUGCUCUGAAUAUCUGUACUAGUGGAUUAUACGUAAAAUUCAUGAGUAAGUGGGACUGAUGCAUAUGCCAAUGCCACUCUAUCGACCAAGAUAAAGGUGCUUGCUGCCUUCGUGAUCUGUUCGAUAAUAAUUAAUACAUAUACCACGCGCUACAACCAGCGCCAACCAAUUGAUUUGGGUCUGCAAACUUUCGGUAAACUAUACAUACCUUCUCUGCAAAGAAAAGAAAGAAAGAAAGAAAGAAAGAAUGUAACUACGAGAUUCAUACAGAUCGAAUUAGCUCAUGUUUAAUCAAGUUUAUAGUAAAUAAUAAUAUUAUUUCUAUCUUUAAAUAAACUUAUUAUAAAAAAUAUAUUUUGUACCUAAUAUAACACUAGUUAUUUUAUGUAAAAAGUGCUAAUAUUUUUUUUAUAUAAACUCGGUUGAAAAAGAUAGAAUUGCAUUCUCUGUGUGUGUGUGUUGUGGACGGAUGGAUAGGAUAGGACUGAGCUUAUCAAAGGUAUCUAAUUAAGGCGUCAGGUCUCAGUCGUCGAAUAUUAGGUGAGGACUUUAUCGUAAUCGUAACUGUACAAACACCCUUUUAUUUGCUCUAACCACCGUUUUUGAACUGUUGCUCGAUCGGCAAU